rnacentral:rRNA from 1 species
AUAUAUAUAUAAAGUUUAACCUGCCCUAUGAAUUUUAAAUGGCCGCAGUAUUUUGACUGUGCAAAGGUAGCAUAAUAAUUAGUCUUUUAAUUGAAGGCUGGAAUGAAUGGUUGGACGAAAUAUUAACUGUUUCAUAUGAAUUUAUAAUAGAAUUUUAUUUUUUAGUAAAAAAGCUAAAAUAAGAUUAAAAGACGAGAAGACCCUAUAAAUCUUUAUAUUUAAUAAUUAUUUAUUUAUUAGAUUUUAAUUAAUAAAUAUUUAUAUAAUAUUUUAUUGGGGUGAUAUUAAAAUUUAAUAAACUUUUAAUUAAAUAAACAAUAAUUAUUGAUUAUUUGAUCCUAUAAUAUAGAUUAAUAGAAUAAGUUACUUUAGGGAUAACAGCGUAAUUUUUUUGGAGAGUUCAUAUUGAUAAAAAAGAUUGCGACCUCGAUGUUGGAUUAAGAAAAAUUUAGGUGCAGAAGUUAAAA